rnacentral:rRNA from 1 species
AUGGGUGCCGGCCUCAUCGGCUACCUAGAUCAAACCACUGAAGAACCAUCAAAAACCCUUACCACCAAAAACGCCGAAGGGAAGGAUCAGGUUGUUGUGAACCCUACCUACUCCCAAUGGCUCAUCCAAGACCAACAAAUCCUCGCUUACCUUCUCAGAAACCUAUCCAAAGAAGUUCUCGUCCAGGUUGCCUCGCUUGAGAAAUCACAUGCGAUCUGGACAGCGCUUGGGAACAUGUUUUCGGCCAUGUCUCUCUCACGCGCCAACAACAUACGAGUCGCCCUCACCAACGCC